ACCUUCCUGGAGAAAUGCUUCCUGUGCGAGUUGGUCGCCGAGGAGAUGGGAGAACCAGGAGUCUUGAUGUUAGACACGUGACCACGCCAGAGUGACUCGGAAGUGCCCUUGAAGUUCACAAGUCCGGGGAAAGAUGAGCCGAUUCUCGUGUUGAAGACGAGCCUUCUGGGGGGGAGCGUGUGCAGGCUCUCACGGAGACUGUCUCAGAGGAGCAGCGAAGAGCCCCCUUCGUGAGAGACAAAGAUUACCGGGGCCUCUGACUUGGCUCACUCGACGGUCGUGGAAGCCGACGGUGCCUUGCUCACUGGAGGCGCUGUGACCCUCUGACGUGUUGGGCCGGAUGGGGUACGAGGAGGCGUUCUGAGGCCCCUGAGGUUUGGGGGGAUCACAUGGUUGCAGUUGGCUCUUAAAAGGGGGCCCUUGUGUCCUGGGUCCUCACUGCAGGGUAGAAUCCUGGCCACCACCCCUGCCUUCCAGAGUAGGCCUCAGAACGCGUGACCUUUGGGUUUCUGCCUUGGUCUCGUGUAGGCUGCGAAAAUGUGAGCUCCAGCCCCCGGUUUCGUGGGCUCUGCCUUGCCUUUGGCUCUGCCCGUGCCCCUCGGGAGGUGUGCCCCUCGGGAGGUGUGUCCCUCGGGAGGUGUGCCCAGCCCGCUUCCUGGGAGGGGAGGGCGGGGAGCAGUGCCGCGUUCUCACCGUGUUGCUCCAGGGUAAGUGAGAGGAAGCCGAGCUCGCGUGUCACCCUCAGAGCGCCCACUGCUCGGAGCCCGUGGGUGUCCUUGAGUUAAAAUGCGAUGGAGACGUGACCUUCUGAAGCCCCUUGCAGAGUGUGUCCCCACAGCAUUGUGAAGUUAAGUCCUCUUGAAUUGAAUUCUUGGUGCGCUCCUGUGUCCCCAGAGUGGAGAGUUGUGCAACUUAAGUGCUUUGGACCGUCUGCCUCCGGGGCGGGCGGGGGGCCGGGUGGAAAGUCAUCAAAUAACUUGAGGCAGAGCUAAACCUUUGCACAUCAGCUUGGAGGAAGCUGGCUUUCCUUGUCGAUGCCAAUCACGCGUCCCUCGAGGGUGGCGCGGGGCCGGAGCCGGGCCCGACGUGGGCAGCCGUUCCCGCUGUGGCCACCAGGUUUAUAGACGAUGCAGUCAUACAGCGUUACGGAGAAGAAGCUGCAGGGGUGCACUGAGAUGGGGUCCCCUCCGCGCGUAGCCAUUCACAGAGCAUUCAGUUCGACUUGCCUCGUGAGUUCUCCUGGGAUCAGUCAAGCGCUCAGGCAGGCUGCGUGGCCUCCUCGGACUUGUGUGGAUCCACUGUGAUCUGAAUCAGAUCAUUGCUUCUCGUCGGCGGCGGUGGAGCCGGCAGAGCCAGCCCAGGCUGGAGCAGCUCUCAGGAGGCGGUGGUCACUGCUCUUCAAUAAAAGUUCUCGUUUCUUUCUUCC
rnacentral:lncRNA from 1 species